rnacentral:rRNA from 1 species
CAGCAGCCGCGGUAAUACGUAGGUGGCAAGCGUUGUCCGGAUUUACUGGGCGUAAAGGGCAAGCAGGCGGAUCGUUAAGUAGAAAGUGAAAGGUCGGAGCUCAACUCCAACAUUGCUUUCUAUACUGGCGGUCUUGAGUCCCGGAGGGGAGAGCGGAACGACACAUGUAGCGGUGAAAUGCGUUGAUAUGUGUCGGAACACCAAUGGCGAAGGCAGCUCUCUGGACGAGUACUGACGCUCAUUUGCGAAAGCCGAGGUAGCGAACAGGAUUAGAUACCCCUGUAGUCCCUGUCUCUUAUAU